AGCAGCAGCCGCGGGAAUACAGAGGGUGCGAGCGUUAAUCGGAUUUACUGGGCGUAAAGCGUGCGUAGGCGGCUUCUUAAGUCGGAUGUGAAAUCCCUGAGCUUAACUUAGGAAUUGCAUUCGAUACUGGGAAGCUAGAGUAUGGGAGAGGAUGGUAGAAUUCCAGGUGUAGCGGUGAAAUGCGUAGAGAUCUGGAGGAAUACCGAUGGCGAAGGCAGCCAUCUGGCCUAAUACUGACGCUGAGGUACGAAAGCAUGGGUAGCGAACAGGAUUAGAGACCCGAGUAGUCCCUGUCUCUUAUAC
rnacentral:rRNA from 1 species